GGACUUCGGUCCAUUUGGUCAAUUUGAAACAAUACAGAGAAGAUUAGCAUGGCCCCUGCACUAAGGAUGACA
rnacentral:snRNA from 1 species